rnacentral:rRNA from 1 species
AUGGAGUGGCGGCUGAUAGACACCCAAAGAAAAAGAAGCCCACCCCACCCUCGUCAGAAAACUCGGCGGCGUCUGCUAUGCAGCGCUGCCCUGCCAAAUGAGUGUGAUAAGCUGGAACUGCUGAGGGUUGGGAACCCUCAGACAGUUCAUGAGCUUCGCAAGAUUGUAAAGCAAGAAGGACCCGCCCUCUUGUUCUUAAUGGAAACCAAGAUAAAGGGCAAAAGAGUGGAAGAUUUAAUGUUUUCUUUAGGUUUUUCCGGUUGUUUUGCCGUUGAUAGCAACGGUCUUAGUUGUGGUGUUGGCCUUUUU